GGUGCCAAGGAAGGGGGGAAGGUGCCAAGGGAGGCAAAGCUUACUUUAUUCAUCACUAAAUCGACUAGGCAUGUUGGAUUGAAAAUCAUGCUAACUUUACAACACAGCCUGUGUGUAGUUAGCUAGCAGCUAGGCAGCCAUCUCCAUGUUAGUCAUGUUAUUAUGUUGAACGUUAUCAUUCAGGUGGAGCUGCUGCAGGGGGUGGAGAAAAGGAAGAGAAGACGAUACAAAGGAGGCACUUCUGUUAAGGUCAGAGAUAUCCUGUGUGAGAAACAUGGUAAAUGCAUGGAGGCGAUGGGGAAACUGAAAUCCGGGUUUCGCUUCAGUGAAGUGGCCUUUCCAGUACAGUGAAAGCCAGACAAGGGGCACGAGAGCCUUUCCCAUGCUAACAGCAACUAACAGACAUUCACCUUUACGAUCUCUCGUGUAUUGGUUUAUUAUGGUAGUGUAAUGUAUUGGUUUAUCAUGUAGUUGAAUAGGGUGAUGUCUGUAUGUAUCCAAAAGAUCCACUAGAUGGCAUCCUCCGUCUUGCUGUCUAUCACUUGUUCAUUUUUCAAUAAUAUUGUUCAGAUGGGA